GGAUGAACGCUGGCGGCGUGCCUAAUACAUGCAAGUCGAGCGAACAGACGAGGAGCUUGCUCCUCUGACGUUAGCGGCGGCCGGGUGAGUAACACGUGGAUAACCUACCUAUAAGACUGGGAUAACUUCGGGAAACCGGAGCUAAUACCGGAUAAUAUAUUGAACCGCAUGGUUCAAUAGUGAAAGACGGUUUUGCUGUCACUUAUCGAUGGAUCCGCGCCGCAUUAGCUAGUUGGUAAGGUAACGGCUUACCAAGGCAACGAUGCGUAGCCGACCUGAGAGGGUGAUCGGCCACACUGGAACUGAGACACGGUCCAGACUCCUACGGGAGGCAGCAGUAGGGAAUCUUCCGCAAUGGGCGAAAGCCUGACGGAGCAACGCCGCGUGAGUGAUGAAGGUCUUCGGAUCGUAAAACUCUGUUAUUAGGGAAGAACAAAUGUGUAAGUAACUAUGCACGUCUUGACGGUACCUAAUCAGAAAGCCACGGCUAACUACGUG
rnacentral:rRNA from 1 species